rnacentral:rRNA from 1 species
AUGCAUGAUCUGGUCGGCCUCGACCUGGACAGCUUCCCGCUCGACCACGAGUUUCCGGAGGACAAAGGACAAGAGGAAGAGGAUGAGUUGGACAUCGAAGGGGAGCCUUUGUUCGAGGACGAGCUCGCCAACCAAGCCGCCGGGGAGAAGCCGAAGCGCAAGAGCAAGCGGACGAAGGCAUACACUGCGGCCAAGGACAAGCUCCUUUGUGAGUGUUGGAGGGACAUUGGGCAAGACCCCAAGGUCGGCGCCGAACAAAAGGCAUCAACCUUUUGGAUUCGUGUUCACCGUGAGUUCCAUGAGCACAAGAAGUUUCCGCCAUACCAAAUGCAAAGCACGCGCGGGUGGGUGUCCAUUUCGAAGCGAUGGAGGGUGAUCCAACAAGAGUGCAACAAGUUUUGUGCCACUCUUGAGAGCAUCAAAGGCACGCCCCAUGAACGGCAUCGACAUGCAAGACAUGGUAUGCUAGCAAGCGGCCCGCUUUUGUGUCAUUCCAUUUAUGCUUGCAUGUCCAUUUCCAUAUCCAUUUGCUAA